GGGGAUGAUCGGUUUCGACAGCGGAUACCGAUGCAGAGGAAGCGUGUCGAGGAAGCGGCAAUGAUCUCGUAAACCAUAUGUCGCAACCAAUAAUCGCCAACACCAAGAGCGAUAACUCCCGCUUCGCCCUCGCUGCCUAAUUUCUAGGUAACGAACAGAAGCCUCUGUGAGGAGCGUCAGCCCGGGGAUGGUCCCGACCCGGAUCCUGGCGUCAUCUAGGGAUCUAAACCUCUAGCCCCGGUCACGGGGGUUGGAGGGAAACCAAACAGUGACUGAGCCCGUCGGAGACUUGUCCGCGUGAUCUCCGGGGCUGAGAAACUCGUAGCGGACUGCACACGGAGAAGCUCUGUUUCCGUACCGUUGGACGCGGGUUCGAUUCCCGCCAUCUCCACUC
rfam:Streptomyces sp. NRRL F-6491 P443contig71.1, whole genome shotgun sequence.